rnacentral:lncRNA from 1 species
GCCGCUGCUGCGCGGACGGAGCUCGGCCGGGUUCCGAGACUAGACGGGGGACAGUGCGACCGUCACGAACUGGGAGCGAACAUCAGGGUAGAAGACAGGAUGCGGAGGGGGAAGCGCCUCCGAGGAGGUGACCCUGCGGCUGAGACCCGAGGGGGAGGGGGCGCCCGGCAGAGGGAAUAGCCGCGCUACGGCGUUGCAAGAAAGGAGGGGAGGCCAGUGUGGCGGCUCGCAGGCCAGGCUACGAAGGCGGAGUUCAGCGGUGGUGGGGCGACGUGGAGGAUGUGCAACAUCCGGCGCCGAGGCUUCUUCACUCUGGCCGGUGAACAGCGUAGGCAGGGAGGCAGUCAGCCUUCUGGCAAAGCAGUGGCCCGGGCCCAGGCAGGAGGCUGGGAGAAUAAAACCCGGCGCCAAAGAGGCUAGCGCUUUCGGGUUUUGUUCCCCACGGGGCCGCCAGCGUUCCCCCACCCAUGUCCGGCAAGCGGUUGUUACUGCAUGACCCUUGGUGGGAGCAAGGAAGGUGCACCCCGCCCCAGACGUUGUCCGAACAGGUAGGUGCAUCAAGGAAGAGAAGGGAACAGAUCGAAAUCGGAUCUUUCUGGAGAAAGGAAUCACUGUGAUUUGGAGACGGACUAACCGCUAGGACAAGGACAGGGGAGUCCAGGUUGCAGCUUGGUGACCAGACGGUUGGUGCUGCAGACGCUGUCUGCACGUCAUUGUUCUCUGCGCUCUGUGGUUUUCCCAGCCUGUGGAUGGUGGUGCCUUUCCCUGUCCAGCCAAUCUGGCCCCAUCCGGAGGUUGUCAGCUGUGCCCCAACACCUUCACCCCGGGCUGGGGGGUGUCUCAGAGUCACGGACAAAAGGGAGCCCGGAAGGAGCAGCCCCCUCCUGUGUCCCUUCUGCUAAGGCACCAACACAUUUCUAGGGGGGAUGGGUUGGCAGGCAGGCAGUCAGUCCGGUGCAGGGGCCUCCCUUUGGAUUUAGAUUUGCCCUGGUGUGGUGGGGGUGCAUUUAGAGCAUUGAAUUCUCUACUGUCAUUGUCACGUCUGCCAUGGCCACGCACGGGGGAGUGAGUGGAACAGAGGGCAGCCCUGGCUCUGCCCUGCAGCCGUCAAGGGGCCCAGAGGGUCAGCACUGGGGACAGGGUGGCCGUGGCAGCAUGUCGGAGCCCCACACAUCCUGGGCCCACCAUCAGUGCAUGCCCAGGGCCGCACCGGCACCCUAGGUGGGGAGGGAGUGGGCGAGCAACCCCACCUUGGCAAAGGUGGGAACAAUUCAGCCGGGCAGCCAACCCCUGCUACUUUUUAAAAAAUGAGCCGAAUGCUAUAGUUUGGCAUGCACAUAAAUUUUAACACGUUUUAUGUUAAAUCUAAAAGCAUGAUUUAUUCAUACACAUGAAUUUAAUCAAGUUUGUUUCUAAAUAUUGCUGAUUUUUGUUACCAAGUGUGUUAUCAGCUGUUGAGCUUUAAAAUUUGAGCAUCUUUUGCCGUUUUGAAGAUGAACAGAAUGUGUUCAGAAGAAACAUAAGGAAAUAAAUCUGGAGGCCGCCUGCCCCCUGGCCUUCCAGGAGUUCUGGCUUCACCCUUCUUACACCCCUGUGCCAACUUACUGAGGCCCUGGGGGCUGAGGGCUGGGACGCUACGUCCUUUGGGGACCUCGGGAGGCCUUUGGCCCAGGUUUGGUGGAGGGGGGUGGGGCAGGGCUCCUGGAGACUGCAUUGGGCAGCCAGCCCCAGGCCUGGAGCCCUAUACCACAGGCAUCUUUCAGGCUUUGCCAGUGUCCUGAGCCCCUCCCUUCCCUUCCAGGGUUGGGGGCCACCUGCUGGCAUGUGGCGCUGCUCUCCAUUUGGAAACGUACCCUUGUCAAGACAGAAUAUUCCCUCUGCCUUCAUUCUCUGUGGGCCUCUGCAGUGCUUGCCCUUGGAGGCUGGUGACCGGGGACACGGAGAGGGUUUAGUGGUAGUCUGGAUGGUGCUGGAGGUCACAGUGCGCCAUCCGGGAGCCUCACGUAGGCACUGCAUCCCCAAGAAAGGACUCCUACCUACCGCUGAGAGUCCCUGCACCAAGGACAGGGGUGGCCCGGCCAGGUAGAACAGAAGAGUUUGGGUGGAGUCAGGAAGGCGGUGAUGGCUCGGUGGCCUUGAGGGAGGCAUUAGAAGAGGAGGCCUGGGUCUCUCUGUGGAGGUGAGAGCCUGCAGCCCCUGCAGGAGCCCAGGGAGAGGCACUGGCUGCUGGUCCUUCUCGGUGGCCAGGCUGGGCCUUAAAGGGUCAGACAGCCGGCGAGGGUCUGGAGUUGUGGGGAGCCUCUCUGGCUGCAGGCUUGUGCCUCUAAGGUGUGGGUUGUCGGGUCCUGAGACCUCUCCCAUCUCCCUGCCAGCAGGUGACUCUGGACUCUCCUGGGGGUGGCUGAGCAGUGAGCUGGGGGCUUGUGCUGGUUUUCAUGCCCAGAGCCCCAUGUUCAUUUCUGCCCCAGGGAAGUCAAGGAUAGUGUGCCUGAGCCGGGGCGGUCCAGCUGGGCGCGGAGCAGUGGAGCUCGUACGCUGCAUCGUUGGCGGACCUGUGGGCCGUGUCGCAGUGUCGACUGGGGCCAAGAUGGCUUGGCCCUGCUCCCAGGACCUACGUUGUGCCAUCCACAGCGAGCCGACUUGGGACUUCUCCAACCCUGCAGGCGUCUGAUGCCAGGAUCUGUGUGGUGUAGGCCGGGCCCCAGGAGCGGGGCCUGGGCAGCCCUGUGUGUUGAGGAAGGAAGGCAGGGCCCCCGCUCCCCGGGCCUGACCCCGUAGCUUCAGCUCCUCGUGCCUGUUUGAGGACAACACCACCUGGGCCUAUCAGGUGGGGAUGGGACUCCAGGGCCCAGCGCCCCGCUUCCUGGUGCUCUCCUGGGCGGGCUGCCGGGGUCGAGACCUCUGCCUUGUCGCGCCUUCUCGGGCAGCCUCUCAACCUGCCUG